CGCUCCUCCUAUAUGGUGGUCUGCUUCGUUCGAUUCACCGCACUUUCAGAGGUGAACGCCAUCUUGACGCAUGCGCUAUCCCCUUAUAAACUCCUCGAAUCGAAGCACCGACGAUGCGCGCACAGAUACACGUGCAGACGCGUCCCCCCUCUCCUCUCCUCUGCCCUCGGUAGCCACAGACGCAUUGCUGCAUCUCGGCUACGUGCACGUGUUGAGCUGUCGCUCUUUCCUCGAGCGCAGUCCGUGUCUCAUCUGUGCGCGUGCACCUGGUGCAAUAUACAGACACAGACAAGCCUACCGUGUGGCGCGCGUUCGUCUCUCGUGCCUGAUCCCCUCAAUUACGAGCGACCUCGCUGUUUUGUUUCCCCGCGUCGUGACGGCGGCUCUGCCAUCGAGCGUUGGCGUCGCGUAUGUCGGCCGCAGCGAUGAGUUACAGCAACACGUUUGCCCUGGCUGUCACGUUAUGCAUUGUCGUCGCUGUUUUAGGCGGGCUUGGCGCCUUUCUGUGCCUUACGGCUCGGCGCCAACGAAGUGCCGCUGCGGAAGACGGACGAGAAUCUGAGCUGCGGACCUCCGCGGAGGCAUCGCGUGCCCGCCAUCAAGGGAGUCGCGCUCAUCUUCCAGAGGCGAUCCCGCUAGAGACAGAUCCUAGCAAUGGCGGUCCAGCACUCGGAAACGCAUUCAUCAAAGAUUUCAACAUUCUGCGCGAUUACGAAGGCGAAUUCGUGCGGGUGGAUGUUGCCAACUCGACUUCUGGAACGCCUGCUGGUGUUCCACCCCCGUCAAAUAGCAGCGGUAGCCAGUGGGGAAGCGUCCCAGGAGAGGGCACGAUGAUAUCAUCUUAUAGACAGCACCCAGUAUCGACCGCGUCUCCUCUUGCUCCCGCAAAUCCGCAACACACGGAGGUACCCGCGUUUCCAGAAGAUCUGGAGCGCGGUGGAUACGUGAUCGUGGAGUGUGACCAGCAGCAAGAACGUGCCGGAAAUGACUUUGGAACCACUGCCGCCGCCGCAUCAAAUCAUCAGAUGCCGAGCCUGAAGGAGGCUAAGCCAGCGCGCAAGUUGGAAUUUUAUCGGCAUAAAUCCUCGAGCGCUGUGUAUGGUACGGCCCAGUACUACAACAACCCCUUUUAAGGGCCGAGUGAUUGGGCACAGCCUUCUCGUGGGCUUCUGGUGGCGCUCCUCCUUUUUUUUUUCGGUCUUCGUUUGCGUUAUUGCGGGUCUCUCAACAGCCCCAUCGACGUCUCCCUCUCUCAUGGUUUCGUAGGGCGUGCGUACCUGGGCCCUUGUGAGGGCGGUGAAUCGCCUUCGCUUCGCUGUUGCUACCCCGCUCUCUCUCCUUCGCCCUCGUAUAUCAUUCUUCCGUUUGACUAGCCCGAAUCAGCGAUGCCUCCUCAGGGUGUCAAUGCUGAUACCGCAGUUGUUUACGGUUGCGUGCUCAGGUUGAUAUCGGUCUCCGCCUCUCAUGAACCCCCCUCCCCUGACGUGCGGUAUGUACUUUAUCUUCCGUUCAACUGUGGUACAGGACGCCACAGCACCUUCAGAGAGUCUUCAUUCGCAGCCAAUUCAAAGAUGGCAUAAGCACGGCAUCGGCCCCCAUGAUGUCGAUUGGCAUCUUUUCUGUCCGACAUGGCCGUGGCGGCUGUGCCUGCGCAACUUUUUGUUUUUUCUCUGCUCUGAUUCCCCUCCCCACUCCUCCAACCCUCCUCCUCCUGCCCUUGCGUCUCAUUACUAUUCUUGGACGACGUGGCAGCAUCGCUUACCAGGCUGAUUGGUUGGUUGUUCACAUGGGCUUCUGUAUGCGUCUGCGCGCAUGUGUUGGGCCGUGUCUGUGUGUAUGUAUGUGUCUCUCUCUCCCUCGUGUCACGGAUGCUGUUGCCUGUGUUCCCACUUUGCCUCCUAUUUUCCUUCUCUCAGCCACGUAGGCGCUCUCCCUCUCGGCGUGCUUUUUCUCAUGCCUUUGUGCUCGAGUGGUCCGUCGUGUUUACUGUCCCUUCUCCCCGCUCAUGUGCUCGGAGGUGGGCGGCGUGCCCGCAAAGUCGCGCAUUUUCCCCCUUUUUUUUCGCGUGGCCUCCACCCAACCGCCUUUUGCCUUUUUCUUCCAUUUGGAUCGACUCAGGCUAGUAGGGCCCUGCACGAGACCCGCUUUGGAUCAAGGCAUGCAGCCGGCCGCGAGUUCGCCUGGUGCCGGUGGCGCACCACGAAUGUGGAGCAGGACAAGAAAAUCCCGCUAGACGCAUGGUCCCUACUCAAUGGCAGGACGGUUCGUCGUGGACGGCCAGUAUUUCGCUGGCGUGCGACGGAGGUAUGUGAGCUGUGGUUGUUGUGUAUGCGCGUAUAUUUAGUUGACUUCUUUCUUUCAGAAAGGCAAGCUGAUUACCCCUCCCCCUCCCCCUCCAAAAAAAAAUAAGAAAACGCUUUUCUUCGACUCUCUCUUCCUCACCAAUUUCCUUUCAUUCCUUCGCGCGGGUUAUAUCGACAUGCGAUCACAACACACACACACACACACAACACACGCACGCACAGCUGAAGCAUAACCUUCAGAUACGGACUUCCGUAAUAUCUCCGUGGGCUGUGUGAUUGCAUGUGUUGUGCAUUUUUGAGGUAUCCUUCGGCCUUGAAACCCGCGGAUCCUCUUCUUUUCUUGGUUUCUCUCACUUCUCCGAUG
rnacentral:misc_RNA from 1 species